rnacentral:rRNA from 1 species
CGGACGGGUGAGUAAUGUCUGGGAAACUGCCCGAUGGAGGGGGAUAACUACUGGAAACGGUAGCUAAUACCGCAUAACGUCGCAAGACCAAAGAGAGGGACCUUCGGGCCUCUUGCCAUCGGAUGUGCCCAGAUGGGAUUAGCUAGUAGGUGGGGUAACGGCUCACCUAGGCGACGAUCCCUAGCUGGUCUGAGAGGAUGACCAGCCACACUGGAACUGAGACACGGUCCAG